CCUUCCCUUCUUAUUCACCUCUUUCUCCUCAUCAUCUUUCUUCUCCAAGCCUACACAUGAGCUCUCCGCCUCCAUGAUGGAUCCCUCCACUUCUACCCCUUCUAUGUCAGCAAUCCCUCUUUUCCCCUCUCCUUCCUCUUUAUCCAUUUUUUCUCUUUAUCCUCCUCCUCCUCCUAUUUCUCCAAGCCUGCACAUGAGGCCUCCCCCUUCAUGAUGUCCUCCUCCACCUCCACCCCUUCCUCAUUGGUGACCCCUCUUUCUUCCUCUUUUCCUUCCUCCUCACCCUUUCUCCACCUCCUCCUC
rnacentral:lncRNA from 1 species